rnacentral:rRNA from 1 species
UACGGAGGGAGCUAGCGUUGUUCGGAUAUACUGGGCGUAAAGCGCACGUAGGCGGAUCGUUAAGUCGGGGGUGAAAUCCUGGAGCUCAACUCCAGAACUGCCUUCGAUACUGGCGAUCUUGAGUCCGGAAGAGGUGAGUGGAACUCCUAGUGUAGAGGUGGAAUUCGUAGAUAUUAGGAAGAACACCAGUGGCGAAGGCGGCUCACUGGUCCGGUACUGACGCUGAGGUGCGAAAGCGUGGGGAGCAAACAGG